CGUUCCCGGAAGACGUCGACGCGUCGGCGACGGUCCUCGUCGUGGUCGACCCCUGGCUGACGGGUGAUCCGGCGUUCCGCGCGCUGUGGGAGCGG
rnacentral:tRNA from 2 species